GGUCCUGCCAACAAGAUCCGCCGGAACGCGUGGUUCUUUCUCUAAUGCUCGAUGGAUUUAUUAUUUAAUAGCAGAGGGACGUACGGCUGUUGUUUUAAUCGCAGGGUUUUAUUAGAAACAAGCCUUUCCAUUGCUCCUUGUAGAGCCGGUUGCAAUCAUGAACCACGGCUCUUUUAGGAUGGCAUGCGUGUGUCCCUCUUUUGGAUUUUCGGGGACAAGCCACACCCAAUUCCAGGCUCUGCUCAGGAUGCUGUGUCCCGAGUGAUAUGCAGGCUCUUCCGGUGUGUGGGGUUUUUGUUUCUCAGUAUUCACUAGAGUAACCCUCUGGGACGGGCGCUGUGCCCACUUUACAGAUGUGUUCUCCCCGAGGAUGCUAACGUGUGGGACAGUAUUUGAUCAGCAGCAGGGCUCCCAGGGAAGUUAACCUCCCUGCCAGGGACUUGGGCCUACAGCCAUAGUCUCCCUCCUCGUUCCUGUUUCCUGUUGGGGGACACUGGCCCUGUCCCAUCUGCUCACCUCUCCGCCUGAAACGCUGCCUGAGCACAGGUGUCUCUCAUAAGUGGAAUCAUACAAUUGUUGCCCUUCUGUGGCGGCCUUAUUUCGCUCAGCACGGUGACCUCCAGUUUCGUCCAUGCUGUAGCAGGUGUCGGAAUUUCCUUCCUCUUUAAGCUUGAGUAAUAUUCCAUCGUGCGGAUACACUACAUCUCAUUAUCCAUUCAUCGGCCAACGGGCACCUGGCGAAAGGGAACCCCUGCGCACUUUCAGGAGGACGUAAGCUGGUGUAGCCACGGUGGAAAACGAUACGGAGGCUCCUCGGAAAAUAAAAAACGGGAUUUCCAGAUGA